UGGCGGCAGCCUAAGACUGCAAGUCGAACGGUAACGACACUAGCUUGCUAGUGGGCGACGAGCGUUUAAGGGGUGAGUAACGCGUAGGAAUCUACCUAGUACUGUGGGAUAGCCAAGGGAAACUUUGGGUAAUACCGCAUACGAUCUACGGAUGAAAGGGGGCCUCUCUUUGAAGCUCUCGCUAUUAGAUGAGCCUGCGUAAGAUUAGCUUGUUGGUGGGGUAAUGGCCUACCAAGGCGACGAUCUUUAGCUGGUCUGAGAGGAUGAUCAGUCACACUGGAACUGAGACACGGUCCAGACUCCUACGGGAGGCAGCAGUCGGGAAUAUUGGACAAUGGGGGGAACCCUGAUCCAGCCAUGCCGCGUGUGUGAAGAAGGCUCUAGGGUUGUAAAGCACUUUUAGUAAGGAGGAAGGCUCAGUAGUUAAUACCUGCUGGGAUUGACGUUACUUACAGAAAAAGCACCGGCUAAUUUCGUGCCAGCAGCCGCGGUAAUACGAAAGGUGCAAGCGUUAAUCGGAAUUACUGGGCGUAAAGCGCGCGUAGGCGGCUUAGUAAGUUAGAUGUGAAAGCCCCGGGCUCAACCUGGGAACUGCAUCUAAAACUGCUAGGCUAGAGUAUGGUAGAGGAUGGCGGAAUUUCCUGUGUAGCGGUGAAAUGCGUAGAUAUAGGAAGGAACAUCAGUGGCGAAGGCGGCCAUCUGGACCAAUACUGACGCUGAGGUGCGAAAGCGUGGGGAGCAAACAGGAUUAGAUACCCUGGUAGUCCACGCCGUAAACGAUGAGAACUAGCCGUUGGACAUCUUGCAUGUUUAGUGGCGCAGCUAACGCGAUAAGUUCUCCGCCUGGGGAGUACGGCCGCAAGGGUAAAACUCAAAUGAAUUGACGGGGGCCCGCACAAGCGGUGGAGCAUGUGGUUUAUUUCAAGGCACGCGCAAAACCUUACCCACCCCUGACAUCCUGAUCGCGGCUACCGAAAUGGUUUCCUUUCAAUUCGGCUGGAUCAGUGACGGGUGCUGCAUGGCUGUCCGUCGCUCGUGUCGGGAAAUGUUCGUGUAAAUCCGGAACCAGCCCAACCCCAUCCUUAUUGCCGCAUUUCGG
rnacentral:rRNA from 1 species